rnacentral:rRNA from 1 species
AAUGAACGCUGGCGGCAGGCCUAACACAUGCAAGUCGAACGAGGCAGCAAUGCCUAGUGGCGGACGGGUGAGUAACGCGUGGGAACGUGCCCCUUGGUACGGAAUAGCCCUGGGAAACUGGGAGUAAUACCGUAUGUGGUCGAGAGACGAAAGAUUUAUCGCCAAGGGAUCGGCCCGCGUUGGAUUAGGUAGUUGGUGGGGUAAUGGCCUACCAAGCCGACGAUCCAUAGCUGGUUUGAGAGGAUGAUCAGCCACACUGGGACUGAGACACGGCCCAGACACCUACGGGAGGCAGCAGUGGGGAAUCUUAGACAAUGGGGGAAACCCUUAUCUAGCCAUGCCGCGUGAUCGAUGAAGGCCUUAGGGUUGUAAAGAUCUUUCAGUGGGGAAGGUAAUGACGGUACCCACAGAAGAAGCCCCGGCUAACUCCGUGCCAGCCGCCGCCGUAA